rnacentral:rRNA from 1 species
UAUUUAUUAGAUAACAGACCAAUAUUCCUCGUGUCUAUUGUGGUGACUCAUAGUAACUGAUCGGAUCGCAUGGCCUUGUGCCGCGACUAACCAUUCAAGUUUCUGACCCAUCAGCUUUCGAUGGUAGUGUAUUGGACUACCAUGGCUUUCACGGGUAACGGAGGAUUAGGGUUCGAUUCCGGAGAGGGAGCCUGAGAAACGGCUACCACAUCUAAGGAAGGCAGCAGGCGCGUAAAUUACCCAAUCCUGACUCAGGGAGGUAGUGACAAGAAAUAACGGGUCGGGGCAUUCGCCUCGGGAUUGCAAUGAAUCGAAUUUACACCCCUUAAUGAGGAUCAAUUGGAGGGCAAGUCUGGUGCCAGCAGCCGCGGUAAUUCCAGCUCCAAUAGCGUAUAUUAAAGUUGUUGCAGUUAAAAAGCUCGUAGUUUGAUUUCUGGACGGGCGCCAACACCCGCUUGUUUAGUGUGGAGGCGGCGCCCGCCCAUCCUUCUGUUAACGCCACCGGCAUUCGUUUGCUGGCGGCGGGCUCAGAUAUUUUACCUUGAGAAAAAUUAGAGUGUUUCAGGCAGGCUUGCG